GGCCGGUUAGCUCAGUUGGUUAGAGCGUGGUGCUAAUAUCGACAUUUGGAAUAUAGAUUUACGCCAAGGUCAAGGGUUCGACCCCCUUACGGGCCA